rnacentral:rRNA from 1 species
GUAGGGAAUAUUGGGCAAUGGUCGGAAGACUGACCCAGCCAUGCCGCGUGCAGGAAGACGGCCCUCUGGGUUGUAAACUGCUUUUAUCUGGGAAGAAAAAGGCCAUGCGUGGCAAAUUGCCGGUACCAGAUGAAUAAGCACCGGCUAACUCCGUGCCAGCAGCCGCGGUAAUACGGAGGGUGCGAGCGUUGUCCGGAUUUAUUGGGUUUAAAGGGUGCGUAGGCGGCUAAUUAAGUCAGCGGUGAAAGACUUCGGCUUAACCGGAGCAGUGCCGUUGAUACUGGUUGGCUUGAGUGUCGGAGGGGUACAUGGAAUUGAUGGUGUAGCGGUGAAAUGCAUAGAUACCAUCAGGAACACCGAUAGCGAAGGCAUUGUACUGGCCGACAACUGACGCUGAUGCACGAAAGCAUGGGGAGCAAACAGGAUUAGAUACCCGUGUAGUCC